AUUGAACGCUGGCGGCGUGCCUAAUACAUGCAAGUCGAACGAAGCUUUUUUAACUGGUGCUUGCACCGACUUAAACAACUGAGUGGCGAACGGGUGAGUAACACGUGGGUAACCUGCCCCAAAGCGGGGGAUAACAUUUGGAAACAGAUGCUAAUACCGCAUAACCACAGAAACCACAUGGUUUCUGUGUCAAAGAUGGUUUCGGCUAUCACUUUGGGAUGGACCCGCGGCGUAUUAGCUAGUUGGUAAGGUAAUGGCUUACCAAGGCAAUGAUACGUAGCCGAACUGAGAGGUUGAUCGGCCACAUUGGGACUGAGACACGGCCCAAACUCCUACGGGAGGCAGCAGUAGGGAAUCUUCCACAAUGGACGAAAGUCUGAUGGUGCAACGCCGCGUGAGUGAAGAAGGUUUUCGGAUCGUAAAACUCUGUUGUCAGAGAAGAACGUGUGCGAGAGUAACUGUUCGUGCAGUGACGGUAUCUGGCCAGAAAGCCACGGCUAACUACGUGCCAGCCGCCGCGGUAA
rnacentral:rRNA from 1 species